AACGCACAUUGCGCCCGCCGGUAUUCCGGCGGGCAUGCCUGUCCGAGCGUCGUCUCAACCCUCGAGCCCCCGGGCCCGGCGUUGGGGAUCGGCCGCCCCCCGCGGCGGCCGGCCCCGAAAUCGAGUUGGCGGCCCCGCCGUAGCCUCCUCUGCGUAGUAGCAACACCUCGCACCGGGACGCGGCGCGGCCACGCCGUUAAACCCCCAACUUCGCAAGGUUGACCUCGGAUCAGGUAGGAGUACCCGCUGAACUUAA
rnacentral:misc_RNA from 1 species